UCANUCACACUGGNNCUGAGACACGGUCCAGNCUCUAACGGGAGGCAGCAGUAGGGAAUAUUGCACAAUGGAGGAAACUCUNAUGCAGCGACGCCGCGUGAGUGAUGAAGGCUUCGGGUCGUAAAGCUCUGUCGCAGGGGAAUAACACAAUGAAUGUACCCUGUAAGAAAGGAUCCGGGAAGUGGCUUUGUAAGUCAGAUGUGAAAGCCAGGGCUCAACCCUNGAAGUGCAUUUGAUACUGCGAAGCUUGAGUGUCGGAGAGGUUACUAGAAUUGUUGGUGUAGUGGUGAAAUACGUAGAUAUCAACAGGAAUACCGGANGCGANGGCGGGUAACUNGCCGAACACUGACACUGAGAUCCGAAAGCGUGGGGAUCAAACAGGAUUAGAUACCCUCGUAGUCCACGCNGUAAACGAUGGAUACUUGUUGUUGGAGGUAUUGACCCCUUCAGUGACGAACUAACGCGUUAAGUAUCCCGCCUNGGGAGUACGGUNGCAAGAUUUAUGCCUAGGGCUACACACGUGCUACAAUGGUAGUNANAGAGNGAAGCUAAGUCGGCAGGUAGAGCAANUCGCUUAAAAGCUAUCUAAGUUCAGAUUGAUCUCUGCAACUNGAGAUCAUGAAGUUGGAAUCGCUAGUNAUCGCGGAUCNGAAUGCNGCGGUNAAUNNNUUCC
rnacentral:rRNA from 1 species